GGGGAAUAUUGGACAAUGGGGGAAACCCUGAUCCAGCGACGCCGCGUGAGUGAAGAAGUGUUUCGGCAUGUAAAGCUCUAUCAGCAGGGAAGAAAAUGACGGUACCUGACUAAGAAGCCCCGGCUAACUACGUGCCAGCAGCCGCGGUAAUACGUAGGGGGCAAGCGUUAUCCGGAUUUACUGGGUGUAAAGGGAGCGUAGACGGUUCUGCAAGUCUGGAGUGAAAGCCCGGGGCUCAACCCCGGGACUGCUUUGGAAACUGUGGAACUAGAGUGCAGGAGAGGUAAGUGGAAUUCCUAGAGUAGCGGUGAAAUGCGUAGAUAUUAGGAGGAACACCAGUGGCGAAGGCGGCUUACUGGACUGUAACUGACGCUGAGGCGCGAAAGCAUGGGUAGCAAAC
rnacentral:rRNA from 1 species